ensembl:rRNA 5S_rRNA 5S ribosomal RNA
GUUUCCAAGGCGGUUUAUGCACGGGAUCUUGUCUGAUCUUGGCAGUUGAGCAGGGUCAAGCCUGGUUAGUACUUGGAUGGGAGACCACCUGGUAAUACCGGGUGCUGGAGCCU